rnacentral:rRNA from 1 species
GACGAACGCUGGCGGCGUGCUUAACACAUGCAAGUCGAACGGAAAGGCCCUGCUUUUGUGGGGUGCUCGAGUGGCGAACGGGUGGGUAACACGUGAGUAACCUGCCCUUGACUUUGGGAUAACUUCAGGAAACUGGGGCUAAUACCGGAUAGGAGCUCCUGCUGCAUGGUGGGGGUUGGAAAGUUUCGGCGGUUGGGGAUGGACUCGCGGCUUAUCAGCUUGUUGGUGGGUAGUGGCUUACCAAGGCUUUGACGGGUAGCCGGCCUGAGAGGGUGACCGGCCACAUUGGGACUGAGAUACGGCCCAGACUCCUACGGGAGGCAGCAGUGGGGAAUAUUGCACAAUGGGCGGAAGCCUGAUGCAGCAACGCCGCGUGCGGGAUGACGGCCUUCGGGUUGUAAACCGCUUUCGCCUGUGACGAAGCGUGAGUGACGGUAAUGGGUAAAGAAGCACCGGCUAACUACGUG